rnacentral:rRNA from 1 species
GAUGAACGCUGGCGGCGUGCUUAACACAUGCAAGUCGAACGAAGCACUUUAACCUGAUUCUUCGGAUGAAGGUUUUUGUGACUGAGUGGCGGACGGGUGAGUAACGCGUGGGUAACCUGCCUCAUACAGGGGGAUAACAGUUAGAAAUGACUGCUAAUACCGCAUAAGACCACAGAGCCGCAUGGCUCGGUGGGAAAAACUCCGGUGGUAUGAGAUGGACCCGCGUCUGAUUAGGUAGUUGGUGGGGUAACGGCCUACCAAGCCAACGAUCAGUAGCCGACCGGGGGGGGGGGCCGGCCCAAUUGGGAAGGGGGCACGGCCCAAACCCCUCGGGAGGGACGGAGGGGGGAUAUUAGACCAAGGGGGGAAACCCUGAAGCCGCGGCGCCGGGGGAGGGAAGAAGUAUUUGGGUAGGUAAAGCCCUAUCAGCAGGGAAGAAAAGGCGGGAACCAGAAAAAGAAGCACCGCCUAAAAACGU